AACGAACGCUGGCGGCGCGCCUAACACAUGCAAGUCGAACGAGAAUCCGGGGCAACCCGGUAGUAAAGUGGCAAACGGGUGAGGAAUACAUGGGUAACCUACCCUUGAGAAGGGAAUAACCCGCCGAAAGGUGAGCUAAUACCCUAUACGCUAUCUUUUUUUUGAAAAGGAUAGGAAAGCCGGGUCGAGGACCUGGUACUCAAGGAGGGGCUCAUGUCCUAUCAGCUUGUUGGUGGGGUAACGGCCUACCAAGGCUACGACGGGUAGCUGGUCUGAGAGGAUGAUCAGCCGCACUGGCACUGAGAUACGGGCCAGACUCCUACGGGAGGCAGCAGUGAGGAAUAUUGCGCAAUGGGCGAAAGCCUGACGCAGCGACGCCGCGUGGGGGAUGAAGGUUUUCGGAUUGUAAACCCCUUUCAUGAGGAAAGAUAAAGUGGGUAACCACUUAGACGGUACCUCAAGAAGAAGCCACGGCUAACUUCGUG
rnacentral:rRNA from 1 species